GACGAACGCUGGCGGCGUGCUUAACACAUGCAAGUCGUACGGUAAGGCCCUUUCGGGGGUACACGAGUGGCGAACGGGUGAGUAACACGUGAGUAACCUGCCCACAACUUUGGGAUAACGCUAGGAAACUGGUGCUAAUACUGGAUAUGUGCUCCUGCUGCAUGGUGGGGGUUGGAAAGCUCCGGCGGUUGUGGAUGGACUCGCGGCCUAUCAGCUUGUUGGUGGGGUAGUGGCCUACCAAGGCGGCGACGGGUAGCCGGCCUGAGAGGGUGACCGGCCACAUUGGGACUGAGAGACGGCCCAGACUCCUACGGGAGGCAGCAGGGGGGAAUAUUGUACAAGGGGCGCAAGCCUGAUGCAGCAACGCCGCGUGCGGGAUGACGGCCUUCGGGUUGUAAACCGCUUUCAGCAGGGACGAAGCUUUUUGUGACGGUACCUGCAGAAGAAGCACCGGCUAACUACGUG
rnacentral:rRNA from 1 species